GACGAACGCUGGCGGCGUGCUUAACACAUGCAAGUCGAACGGUGAAGGGAUCAGCUUGCUGGUUCUGGAUGAGUGGCGAACGGGUGAGUAACACGUGAGUAACCUGCCCCCUUCUUCUGGAUAACCGCAUGAAAGUGUGGCUAAUACGGGAUAUUCUGGGUCUGUCGCAUGAUGGGUCUGGGAAAGAUAUUGUUUCGGUGGGGGAUGGGCUCGCGGCCUAUCAGCUUGUUGGUGGGGUGAUGGCCUACCAAGGCGGUGACGGGUAGCCGGCCUGAGAGGGUGGACGGUCACACUGGGACUGAGACACGGCCCAGACUCCUACGGGAGGCAGCAGUGGGGAAUAGUGCACAAUGGGCGCAAGCCUGAUGCAGCGACGCCGCGUGAGGGAUGGAGGCCUUCGGGGUGUAAACCUCUUUCGCCAGUGAAGCAGGCCUGCUCCGUGUGGGUGGGUUGACGGUAGCUGGAUAAGAAGCGCCGGCUAACUACGUG
rnacentral:rRNA from 1 species